rnacentral:miRNA from 1 species
ACAGUAAUGGUAUGAACUCAGA